rnacentral:rRNA from 1 species
UACGGAGGGUGCAAGCGUUAUCCGGAUUCACUGGGUUUAAAGGGUGCGUAGGCGGGCAAGUAAGUCAGUGGUGAAAUCUCCGAGCUUAACUCAGAAACUGCCGUGGAUACUAUUUGCCUUGAAUAUUGUGGAGGUGAGCGGAAUAUGUCAUGUAGCGGUGAAAUGCUUAGAUAUGACAUAGAACACCAAUUGCGAAGGCAGCUCACUACACAAUCAUUGACGCUGAGGCACGAAAGCGUGGGGAUCAAACAGG